UAUAUCUUAGUAUAAAAUGUACGAAAGUUUUUGAUACUUUAGGAAGUGGUUUAUAACUAUUAGGUAUAA
rnacentral:tRNA from 1 species